GAAACAUUUUUAUUUAAUAGAUUGUUAUGUAAAUAGAGAUUUGUACACAUAUAUGAUAACAGGUAUAGAAUUUUAUUUGUGAAUGCUGUUGACUAUACACCUUCAAACAAAUGAUCAAUGAAUCACUUGUACGCCGAGGUGUAAAUAAGUGUAUGAUAUUACGCCGUGGUGUAAAUUAAGUGUAUGAUAUUACGCCGAGGUGUAAAUUAAGUGUAUGAUAUUACGCCGAGGUGUAAAUUAAGUGUAUGAUAUUACGCCGUGGUGUAAAUUAAGUGUAUGAUAUUACGCCGAGGUGUAAAUUAAGUGUAUGAUAUUACGCCGAGGUGUAAAUUAAGUGUAUGAUAUUACGCCGAGGUGUAAAUUAAGUGUAUGAUAUUACGCCGAGGUGUAAAUUAAGUGUAUGGUAUUAUGCAGAGGUGUAAAGUGUAUGAUAUUUUAAUCAUAUUGACAACUCUUUUUCGUGUACACUCCACGAGACUCGCCUAUGCUUUGUUUAAAUCUUCUCACAGAUUUGUGAGUUUAUAUAAGCCUGUCUCGAUUUAACCUACAAUGCCUUAUCUUGUCGGCUUCCUUCAGCUGCUGCUUGAAAAUAUGGCUUUUUCUGUGAAUCACCAUAGAGUUUUCCCGAUCAGCAUCCUCAUUUUGUUACAAAGCAUUUGUUUCUGUUCCAAUCUUGUAAAUUUUCUGUCGCCAUGUAUGGACAUGUGUGCAAGCAUGCAUUGAGUCACUAAGACGUUACAAAUAAAAUCUUGUGUCAGUUGUGAUUUACCCAAGUUAAUACUUUAUAAUCAAGAUUGGUCAUGCUCAAAUUUUUGUAUAUGACAGUAUUUUUAACCAUUUGUUUUGUUUUGUUAAGAAAAUUGUGGAAGAAAGGUUUGAAUAAUUUAUAAGAUAUAAAAGUGUUGUUAACAAGUUUAGCUGGAGAUUAAUAUGUUUAUCAUCAGUGAAUGUGUUAGUUAGUUUCAGUAAGCCGAUUAGACUGUAAAUGUCCAGUUGUCAAACUUGUUACUAGCAUAAUUUCAUCUGAUAUUAUAUUUCAUUCUUUAUCAAUGUCUUUAUAUACAAUUUUUAUAAUAAAAUAAUAAUAAUUAA